rnacentral:rRNA from 1 species
UACGUAGGGGGCGAGCGUUAUCCGGAAUUACUGGGCGUAAAGCGCACGCAGGCGGUUCGGCAAGUUUGGAGUGACAGUUGUCGGCUCAACCGACAAAGGACUUCAAAAACUGGUGAACUUGAGGACGAGAGAGGAACAUGGAACUCCAGGUGUAGUAGUGAAAUGCGUAGAUAUCUGGAAGAACACCAAUGGCGAAGGCAAUGUUCUGGCUCGUUUCUGACGCUCAGGUGCGAAAGCCAGGGGAGCGAACGGG